rnacentral:tRNA from 1 species
UUUAAACCCUAAAUAUGAUAUGAUUUAAUUUCUUAUAUCU